rnacentral:rRNA from 1 species
ACUACCAUGCAGUCGAGCGGAUGAAGGGGGCUUGCUCUCUGAUUCAGCGGCGGACGGGUGAGUAAUGCCUAGGAAUCUGCCUGGUAGUGGGGGAUAACGUUCCGAAAGGAACGCUAAUACCGCAUACGUCCUACGGGAGAAAGCGGGGGAUCUUCGGACCUCGCGCUAUCAGAUGAGCCUAGGUCGGAUUAGCUAGUUGGUGAGGUAAUGGCUCACCAAGGCGACGAUCCGUAACUGGUCUGAGAGGAUGAUCAGUCACACUGGAACUGAGACACGGUCCAGACUCCUACGGGAGGCAGCAGUGGGGAAUAUUGGACAAUGGGCGAAAGCCUGAUCCAGCCAUGCCGCGUGUGUGAAGAAGGUCUUCGGAUUGUAAAGCACUUUAAGUUGGGAGGAAGGGUAUUCACCUAAUACGUGAGUAUUUUGACGUUACCGACAGAAUAAGCACCGGCUAACUUCGUGCCAGCAGCCGCGGUAAUACGAAGGGUGCAAGCGUUAAUCGGAAUUACUGGGCGUAAAGCGCGCGUAGGUGGUUCGUUAAGUUGGAUGUGAAAGCCCCGGGCUCAACCUGGGAACUGCAUCCAAAACUGGCGAGCUAGAGUACGGUAGAGGGUGGUGGAAUUUCCUGUGUAGCGGUGAAAUGCGUAGAUAUAGGAAGGAACACCAGUGGCGAAGGCGACCACCUGGACUGAUACUGACACUGAGGUGCGAAAGCGUGGGGAGCAAACAGGAUUAGAUACCCUGGUAGUCCACGCCGUAAACGAUGUCAACUAGCCGUUGGGAUCCUUGAGAUCUUAGUGGCGCAGCUAACGCAUUAAGUUGACCGCCUGGGGAGUACGGCCGCAAGGUUAAAACUCAAAUGAAUUGACGGGGGCCCGCACAAGCGGUGGAGCAUGUGGUUAAUUCGAAGCAACGCGAAGACCUUACCUGGCCUUGACUGCUGAGACUUUCCAGAGAUGGAUUGGUGCCUUCGGGAACUCAGACCAGGUGCUGCUGGCUGUCGCAGCUCGGGCCUGAGAUGUUGGGUAAGUCCCGAACGAGCGCACCCUUGCCUUAGUUCCCGCCCUCGGGGGGGCCUCUAGGG